CGAGAACGGUCCCUUCGGGGAUUUAGUAAAGUGGCGAACGGGUGAGUAACGCGUGGAUGAUCUGCCCUCAAGUGGGGGAUAACUCGGGGAAACCCGGGCUAAUACCGCAUAAGCCCUUCGGGGGAAAAGUUUUUUUAAAUUGCUUGAGGAGGAGUCCGCGUCCGAUUAGCUAGUUGGUGAGGUAAGAGCUCACCAAGGCGACGAUUGGUAGCCGGUCUGAGAGGACGGACGGCCACACUGGAACUGAGACACGGUCCAGACUCCUACGGGAGGCAGCAGUGGGGAAUUUUGGGCAAUGGGGGAAACCCUGACCCAGCAACGCCGCGUGGAGGAAGAAGGUUUUCGGAUCGUAAACUCCUGUCCCGAGGGACGAAGCAAGUGACGGUACCUCGGGAGGAAGCCCCGGCUAACUCCGUGCCAGCAGCCGCGGUAAUACGGGGGGGGCAAGCGUUGUUCGGAAUUACUGGGCGUAAAGGGCGCGCAGGCGGUUUCGUCAGUCAUGGGUGAAAGCCCCGGGCUCAACCCGGGAAGGGCCUGUGAAACCACGGAACUGGAGUGCUGGAGAGGGAAGCGGAAUUCCCAGUGUAGCGGUGAAAUGCGUAGAUAUUGGGAGGAACAUCGGUGGCGAAGGCGGCUUCCUGGACAGACACUGACGCUGAGGCGCGAAAGCCAGGGGAGCGAACGGGAUUAGAUACCCCGGUAGUCCUGGCUGUAAACGAUGAAUACUUGGUGUAGGGGGUAGGAAAGUCCCUCUGUGCCGCAGAGAACUCGAUAAGUAUUCCGCCUGGGGAGUACGGCCGC
rnacentral:rRNA from 1 species